rnacentral:rRNA from 1 species
GCACCCGCGGUAAUUCCAGCACCAAUAGCGUAUAUUAAUGCUGCUGCUGUUAAAAAGCUCGUAGUUGGAUCAAGAGUUCGACAGUGCACGGUGGCCCUGUUUGCACCAGUGGUUCCGAUCAUUGGGGCGGCAGCGGAUCAACCCCGUGCGCCAAACUGUCGACUCUAACAGACCGAAACGGUUCCCUGCGAGUAGGCUCCUUCAUUGGGGUUGAAAGCGCUUACGCAUCAACCAUAUGCAUACGGGACGUCGGUCAAAGUUACUGUGAACAAACCAGCGUGUCCAAAACAGGCCUUCGCCUGAAUGUUCGAGCAUGGAAUAACAAGGGAUCGAUUCUCUCGGUUCUUUUUGUUGGUUUUUAACCCGAGAAGGAGUAAUUCAGGCCACGGUGUCUGAGUCGGGUUCCCCUCCACCUCGGUGGAGGCCCCGAUUAGGCUGUGUCCUUACGGGAUCAAUAGGGACUGACGGGGUCGUACGUACUUCUACGUCAGAGGUGAAAUUCUUAGAUCGUAGGAAGACGAACUUCUGCGGAAGCAUUCGACAAGAAUGUCUUCAUUAAUCAAGAACGAGAGUGUGAGGAUCGAAGAUGAUCAGAUGCCGUCGUAGUCCACCACUGUAAACAAUGCCGUCUCAGGAUUGGGAAGUGAACAGAAUGACUUUCACAGCACUAACCCCUGAAACGAGAAAUCAAAGAUUAUGGGUUCAGGGGGGAGUACAUCCGCAAGGCUAAAACUUAAAGGAAUUGACGGAAUGACACCACAAGGCGUGGAGUAUUUGGCUUAAUUUGACUCAACACGGGGAAUUUUACUAGGUCAGGACAAUGUAAGGAUUGACAGAUUGAGAGCUCUUUCUCGAUCCAUUGUGUGGUGGUGCAUGGCCGCUCCUGGUUGGUGGAGUGAUUUGUCUGGUUGAUUCCGUUAACGAACGAGAUCUCGACCCUUAAAUAGGUGCCCGUGUCGAAUGUAGUUUCGCCUCCGCGUACUUGUACGAUUGGAGCGGGACGAGACUGCGCGAAUACUUCUUAAGGGGACUGUGUGCGUCUCUAGCACGCGGAAGAGCGAGCCAAUAGCAGGUCUGUGAUGCUCCUAAAUGUCCUAGGCUGCACGCGCACUACACUGAUGCAAUAAACGAGUCUGAGUGCCUUCUGGCAACCUACCUGGAAGCGGGUGGGAAAUCUUUUGAACUUGCAUCGUGAUGAG